UGUCUUUUUGAAUAUAAUUUUAAGUCCAAUCUGCUCACUGAUUUUUUAAAGAGCCGCAGUAUUUUGACUGUGCAAAGGUAGCAUAAUCAAUAGUUUUUUAAUUGAAAACUUGUAUGAAUGAUUAGAUGAAAAAUUUAUUUUCUUUAUUUUAGUAAAUUUAAUUUUAAAUUUAAGUGAAAAUGCUUAAGUAUAUUUAAAAGACGAGAAGACCCUAUAGAUUUUUAUUUUUUUUUUUAAUUAUAUAUUAAUUAAUUUUAAAAUAAUUUAAUUGGGGCGAUUUUGUAACAUAAAAAACUUAAAUUUUAAUUAAACAAAAAUAAUUGAAUUUUUUGAUCUAAAAUUUUUUAUAGAAAGAUUAAAUUACCUUAGGGAUAACAGCGUAAUUUUAUUUAAGAGUUCAUAUCUAUAAUUAAGUUUGCGACCUCGAUGUUGAAUUAAGAUGAAGUAUUGGAGUAGAAGUUAUUAUAAUUAGUCUGUUCGACUAUUAAAAUCUUACGUGAUC
rnacentral:rRNA from 1 species